UCCUCGAUGGUCUAACGGUCAUGAUUUCCGCUUGUCAUCUCUUUGAGAACAAGCGCGGGAGACCUGGGUUCGACUCCCAGUCGGGGAG
rnacentral:tRNA from 1 species